rnacentral:rRNA from 1 species
UACGUAGGGGGCAAGCGUUGUCCGGAUUUAUUGGGCGUAAAGAGCGUGUAGGCGGUUUGGUAGGUCCGCUGUGAAAACUCGAGCUCAACCUCGAGACGCCGGUGGAAACCUCAGACUAGAGUCCGGAAGAGGAGAGUGGGAAUUCCUGGUGUAGCGGUGAAAUGCGCAGAUAUCAGGAAGAACACCCGUGGCUAAGGCGGCUCUCUAGUACGGUACUGGACGCUGAGACGCGAAAGCGUGGGGAGCGAACAGG